rnacentral:rRNA from 1 species
AGUGAACGCUGGCGGUAGGCCUAACACAUGCAAGUCGAACGGCAGCACAGUAAGAGCUUGCUCUUACGGGUGGCGAGUGGCGGACGGGUGAGGAAUACAUCGGAAUCUACUUUUUCGUGGGGGAUAACGUAGGGAAACUUACGCUAAUACCGCAUACGACCUACGGGUGAAAGCAGGGGAUCUUCGGACCUUGCGCGAUUGAAUGAGCCGAUGUCGGAUUAGCUAGUUGGCGGGGUAAAGGCCCACCAAGGCGACGAUCCGUAGCUGGUCUGAGAGGAUGAUCAGCCACACUGGAACUGAGACACGGUCCAGACUCCUACGGGAGGCAGCAGUGGGGAAUAUUGGACAAUGGGCGCAAGCCUGAUCCAGCCAUACCGCGUGGGUGAAGAAGGCCUUCGGGUUGUAAAGCCCUUUUGUUGGGAAAGAAGAGCAGCAGGUUAAUACCCCGCUGUUCUGACGGUACCCAAAGAAUAAGCACCGGCUAACUUCGUGC